rnacentral:snRNA from 1 species
UCAAAAACAAAUAUUAAAAUC